rnacentral:rRNA from 1 species
UGAGGAAUAUUGGUCAAUGGCCGGGAGGCUGAACCAGCCAAGCCGCGUGAAGGAAGACGGCCCUACGGGUUGUAAACUUCUUUUGUCGGGGAACAAAAGGGAGGACGUGUCCUCCUCUGCGGGUACCCGAAGAAAGAGCAUCGGCUAACUCCGUGCCAGCAGCCGCGGUAAUACGGAGGAUGCGAGCGUUAUCCGGAUUUAUUGGGUUUAAAGGGUGCGUAGGCGGUCUGUUAAGUCAGCGGUAAAAGACCGGGGCUCAACCCCGGCAAGCCGUUGAAACUGGCGGACUAGAGACGGAGAGAAGUAAGCGGAAUGCGCAGUGUAGCGGUGAAAUGCAUAGAUAUUGCGCAGAACUCCGAUUGCGAAGGCAGCUUACCGGCUCCGGACUGACGCUGAGGCACGAAGGCGUGGGUAUCAAACAGGAUUAGAUACCC